AUUUAGAAGUUUGCUGAGCUGCAGCUAUUUGCAGUUGUUAGACUGAACCAUCCUUUCACCUCUGCAAUCUCAUGCAGUCCCUCAGCAUUGUGGGGAUGCAGGCAAACCGCGAUAAAUAACUGAGCCUAUAUUUACAAAUACCAGCCAGUUCGAACAAUCUGACCUUUCUUGGGGAUUCUGACCAAUCUGCAGUGGAAGACAGCUGAUACCUUCCAGGAUUUUCCAUGGUUAAGGAAAUCGGGAGGGACUGCACCUGUGUUGGACCAUGAGGGAGCCCAAAGUGUCACUUGUUCCACCCAACACUGAGCAAUCCACUUUGUCUGCUGUGCACAAACACCAGUACCUGCCUGAAACCCCUUCAGCCCUCAGACUUCCACUCACAGCUGUCUCCAGAGUGUCACAAGGAAAGAUGAUGGAUGGGCAGAGUUUUAUUUCCAUUAGAAUGGAGCCAACUGAAUAUUUCCAACAGCUUUAUUAAAAAUACUAGUUCUUGCUUUGCUUAA